UCACUAGCGCCUUCGCAAGUCUGGCCCCCACAUCUCCCGAGCUAGCACGCCUGCAUCCCCUCUCCCUUGCUGCUUCCAUGUCCUUCCUCUUCCCGCCACCCUAGCUAGCCGCCUCCUCCAUCCUCCGGAAACCGACCUCCUCUCACGGCUCCCCGCCAAGUCCAUCCACCAAGUGCGUCUCCAAGACACCUCAUCUCCCACCGCAACCACCGCAAGAGCUAGCUGACUAACGAGAAUUCAGGCCGCCGAUGUCAGAGGUGGUGGAGGCGUUAGUCCGGCUUGUGCAGAGGGCCAACAUGACCAAGAUGAUGCUUGACGGAGACAGCUCUCGGCAAGGCGAUGACCCGGACCAGGAUUUCAUAUGAUGCGACCGAGCGGAACCCUUGCAUUGCAUUUGAGAUUGUAUUUAUUUUUACACAUUUCCGGUAACGCGUAGUUCGAGAGAGGAGUGGAAGAACAAAGUAGAUAGUGUCCGGUUCCAUCAGGUACAUAUCACACAUGUUUUGCUUCAUAUACCCAUGUAAAAGUGUUGUUUGUGGGUGUUGCUUGAAGAACACAUCGCUUGGCCCGAGGGUUGUCGUGCAGUUA